rnacentral:rRNA from 1 species
GACGAACGCUGGCGGCGUGCCUAAUACAUGCAAGUAGAACGCUGAAGGAGGAGCUUGCUUCUCCGGAUGAGUUGCGAACGGGUGAGUAACGCGUAGGUAACCUGCCUGGUAGCGGGGGAUAACUAUUGGAAACGAUAGCUAAUACCGCAUAAGAGUAGAUGUUGCAUGACAUUUGCUUAAAAGGUGCAAUUGCAUCACUACCAGAUGGACCUGCGUUGUAUUAGCUAGUUGGUGGGGUAACGGCUUACCAAGGCGACGAUACAUAGCCGACCUGAGAGGGGGAUCAGCCACACUGGGACUGAGACACGGCCCAGACUCCUACGGGAGGCAGCAGUAGGGAAUCUUCGGCAAUGGACGGAAGUCUGACCGAGCAACGCCGCGUGAGUGAAGAAGGUUUUCGGAUCGUAAAGCUCUGUUGUAAGAGAAGAACGAGUGUGAGAGUGGAAAGUUCACACUGUGACGGUAUCUUACCAGAAAGGGACGGCUAACUACGUG